UGGGGAAUAUUGCACAAUGGGCGCAAGCCUGAUGCAGCAACGCCGCGUGAGGGAUGACGGCCUUCGGGUUGUAAACCUCUUUUAGCAGGGAAGAAGCGAAAGUGACGGUACCUGCAGAAAAAGCACCGGCUAACUACGUGCCAGCAGCCGCGGUAAUACGUAGGGUGCAAGCGUUGUCCGGAAUUAUUGGGCGUAAAGAGCUCGUAGGCGGUCUGUCGCGUCUGCUGUGAAAUCCCGAGGCUCAACCUCGGGCCUGCAGUGGGUACGGGCAGACUAGAGUGCGGUAGGGGAGAAUGGAACUCCUGGUGUAGCGGUGGAAUGCGCAGAUAUCAGGAAGAACACCGAUGGCGAAGGCAGUUCUCUGGGCCGUAACUGACGCUGAGGAGCGAAAGCGUGGGGAGCGAACAGGAUUAGAUACCCUGGUAGUCCACGCCGUAAACGUUGGGCGCUAGAUGUGGGGACCAUUCCACGGUUUCCGUGUCGCAGCUAACGCAUUAAGCGCCCCGCCUGGGGAGUACGGCCGCAAGGCUAAAA
rnacentral:rRNA from 1 species